UAUGUACUCCCUCCGUCCGAAAAUACUGGUCAUCAAAAUUAAUAAAAGGGGAUGCAUCUAGACGUAUUUUAGUUCUAGAUACAUCUGUUUUCUUCAUUUUGAUGACAAGUAUUUUCAGACGGAGGAAGUAUGAU
rfam:Triticum aestivum genome assembly, contig: Triticum_aestivum_CS42_TGACv1_scaffold_031213_1BL